rnacentral:tRNA from 1 species
UGCAAUAUGAUGUAAUAGGUUAACAUAUUAGGCUCAUGACUUAAUUAUAUAGGUUCAAUUCCUUUUAUUGCUC